rnacentral:tRNA from 1 species
GCCUUCGUGGUGUAGUGGUCAACACGCUCGACAUGUAACCGAAUGGUCCGUGGUUCGAUUUCCGGCGGGGGCA